ACAAUUUUCUUCACCAAUACGUUCACAAUUUUCUUCACCAAUACGUUCACAAUUUUCUUCACCUACUACUUCACAAUUUUCUUCACCUUUGAAGUCAAUCUCCAAAUAGAAUUUUGCUUCUUUAAAACCUAUUCCACUAUCUCAACUCACUCAUUCCCACCUCUGCAGCAAGUUUAUUAAAGUAAUAGAGUGAAGAUUAUUCAUCUCAUUCAAUUCUUCUUCACAAUUGGCUUCUAAUCUAUGCCAUAUAUAAAAUCUGCAGAGACUAAUACCAUACACCUAUUCAAGGUUCAAAUAAACAAAAGCGUCUGAGUAACCUAUCGCGCUAAGGAAAGAGAAUCAUUGUCUUAAGUAGCAAAACACUGCAAUCAGGUGGGCAUUACUUUUACUAUACGUAUAUAGAGAUCCCCUGCGUGUCGUAGGCCUCUUAUACGAAUGAAUGCAUGAGAUGAUUUAACUGUUAAUUUCAGUUUUAUAUAUCUAUCAAAUGAGUUUAAUGUUACAUUUGAGCAAGUUAUUUCGUUACAAAAUAUUUGAGUUAAAGUUAUUUCAAGUAUUGUCUUGCCAUAAAAUGUUUAAAUUUUAGUAUGAUAUCUAUCUGCUUUGGCUUUGCCAAUGAUGCAAUCGAAUUCGGGUCCUGAGCAGUUGAUAGCUAUCCUGCCAGGGCUAGUGUACACCAGUGACCGUGAGUCAUCUAGCGGGUUGGCCGGUCAAGUGACCGUGAGAGGUGGCCACCUCUCCGGCACACAGUUCCAGAUAUGAUAGAUUACAAGAGAACUUAGUCUGCAGACGAACUUUAAGAAUCACAAAUGAACUUAGUAAGCUUGGGCCUUUUUAGCGAAAAACUCCCUUGCUGUACUGUUUAUGAUGGCAUGACAAUUUACAGUUUUGAAGCAUGUAUUUUUAUACCUAGGCAUACGUGCCCACUGAGUGCUUUUGUACUCAGCCCUGCAUAUGUUUUCUAAAUGUGCAGGUUGAGCUGAUGUGAUGAUGGUGCUGAAAUGAGCGGAGUCUCCAGGGUUGUUAAUAAAUAGUUAACCUGUCUAGAAUAUGUCUUCAUACAUAUGUCUAGCUACUUUCCGCUGCAAGAUGUUGUUGAUGUUAUAGUAUGUUAUGUCAUACUUUGAGUCUUAAGAGAAUGGUUUCAUAUGAUGUAUAACUUGAUUAAUGAUAUUAAUUAAGUUUUAUGUUGUCUUUCAUAGACUGUUCAAAAGAGUAUUAAUGAGUAAAUACGAUGGUUUUUCUUAA